AUGGCGGAGCAAGUGAUCCUUAAAAUUCAAAGAAAAUGUUUUGCAAUCGAACGAGCUUAUCAACAAGGUGUAUGUAGUCAAAGGGAACUACGCGCGACAGACGCCUGCAUUGUUAAUUUAGCGAGAAUUGCUGAUCUACUUUCUACAGAGACAGCUAAUGAAUUAAGAGACGCCCUUCUGGAAAUCAAGGAAUUGAUUUUGAGUUCACAGCGAGAUGCCCCGGCAGCCUUCUCAGUUAAUCGAGUUCGUUCAGGAGGCCGUGGCAGACCAGCCAUUGAUGUUUCAAGGCAGCAAAUACUGUUUUUGCUGAAACAAGGAUACACUGUCAAGCAAAUGGCUGGCAUGUUUGGUUGCUCCUCAUCGUUUCUUUACAAGAAAACAAAGCUGCUUGGAGUGUGUGUUCGAAGAGGACAUCUACCAGUGACAGACGAAGAGCUCAUCCAACACAUCACAAGACUUCAUGAGCUUUAUCCUAAUACAGGAAGUGAGAUGAUGAGAGGAUUCCUCCGAGCUGAGGGGCUGUUUAUUCCACGGCAUAGGGUACGAGACGCAUUGACCCAGAUAAAUCCUGGUGCAGCUGCACGCAGGUGGAGCAGUGCUGUGACCAGAAGGGUGUACCAUGUUCCCCAUCCCAAUAGUUUAUGGCACAUAGAUGGAAACAUGUGACUCAUAAGGUGGGGUUUGGUGGUCCAUGGAGCCAUUGAUGGACACUCUCGACUGAUCACAUACUUGAAUUGCAACACAAAUAAUCGCGCCUCCACUGUACUGACACAGUUUGUAAAAGCAACCUGUAUGUAUGGCCUUCCUUCCAGAGUUAGAUCAGACUAUGGAGGUGAGAAUUCACAAGUUGCACUGUUCAUGAACCUUGUUCAAGGUGUGGAGAGGAGGAGUCACAUCACAGGGGAGUCUGUCCAUAACCAAAGAAUAGAACGUCUUUGGAGAGAUGUUUUUCUGCAUGUUCUACAAUAUUUCUAUGAUGCUUUUUACUCUCUGGAGAAUUCUGAGCUUCUUGAUCCUGAGGAGGACCUCCACAAAAUGGCACUGCAAAUUGUCUUUCUGCCAGAAAUUCAGAAAAGACUUCACAAUUUCAGAAAUGCCUGGAACAACCACUGUCUGCGCACUGAAAACAACAGAACACCUGUCCAAAUCUGGAUUGCAGGAAUGCUGGCCAAUAUGGAGAUGGACAACACAGCCAUCAACAAUGUGUUUGGUGAGGACCUUUACAGUGAACAGAGUUUGGAGGCCCUUUUGGCACACCAUGGGAUUGUCACUUUCCCCAGUCUUGAUGACGACGACCAUUUCCCAGCUGUUGUUGUGGAAGGACCCAGAAUCCACCUCACUUCACAGCAACAGCAACUCGUCAUCCAGGCAAUUGAAUUACCAUACGACACAGAAAUAUCACACUUGCUGCACAGUAAUUGCAAAUAUGCUUGUGUUGCCCCAAAGUGAAAAUAAUGAAUGAGUUAAAGACCAAACUGAUACACUGGAGGACAAUUUAAAGUAAUAUCCAGAGUGAUGAUACCCAGAACAACAUCUCAACCUAGAGUGUGAUGUUGCUUUAAUACAACAUUAAUACAAGCACAAAAUAGUGGUAACAACUAAAAACUCAACAGAUUAUUUUAACUCCACCAACUCAACGAGUUCCACAGUUUAACUAAAACUAGUCUCAGUCUC
ensembl:lncRNA